UGUUAACCGCAGAUGCGGCUGUAGGAGCACU
rnacentral:piRNA from 1 species